GACGUAGGGGGCCAGCGUUGUUCGGAAUUACUGGGUGUAAAGGGUUCGUAGGCGGUGCGGCAAGUUGGGAGUGAAAUCUCUGGGCUUAACCCAGAGGCUGCUUCCAAAACUGCUGUGCUUGAGUGUGGGAGAGGCGCGUGGAAUUGCAGGUGUAGCGGUGAAAUGCGUAGAUAUCUGCAGGAACACCCGUGGCGAAAGCGGCGCGCUGGACCACUACUGGCGCUGAGGAACGAAAGCUAGGGGAGCAAACAGG
rnacentral:rRNA from 1 species